rnacentral:rRNA from 1 species
AUUGAACGCUGGCGGCAUGCCUUACACAUGCAAGUCGAACGGUAACAGGUCUUCGGAUGCUGACGAGUGGCGAACGGGUGAGUAAUACAUCGGAACGUGCCUAGUAGUGGGGGAUAACUACUCGAAAGAGUGGCUAAUACCGCAUGAGAUCUACGGAUGAAAGCAGGGGAUCGCAAGACCUUGUGCUACUAGAGCGGCCGAUGGCAGAUUAGGUAGUUGGUGGGAUAAAAGCUUACCAAGCCGACGAUCUGUAGCUGGUCUGAGAGGACGAUCGGCCACACUGGGACUGGGACACGGCCCAGACUCCUACGGGAGGCAGCAGUGGGGAAUUUUGGACAAUGGGCGAAAGCCUGAUCCAGCAAUGCCGCGUGCAGGAUGAAGGCCUUCGGGUUGUAAACUGCUUUUGUACGGAACGAACAGCCCCGGGUUAAUACCCUGGGGUCAUGACGGUACCGUAAGAAUAAGCACCGGCUAACUACGUGCCAGCCGCCGCUGUAA